rnacentral:tRNA from 1 species
ACCCGUCUAGCUCAGUUGGUAGAGCGCUGGCCUUUUAAGCCAGAGGUCGUGGGUUCGAGCCCCACGGGGGGUG